UACGAAGGGGGCUAGCGUUGCUCGGAAUCACUGGGCGUAAAGGGUGCGUAGGCGGGUCUUUAAGUCGGGGGUGAAAUCCUGGAGCUCAACUCCAGAACUGCCUUUGAUACUGGCGAUCUUGAGUCCGGGAGAGGUGAGUGGAACUCCGAGUGUAGAGGUGAAAUUCGUAGAUAUUCGGAAGAACACCAGUGGCGAAGGCGGCUCACUGGCCCGGUACUGACGCUGAGGUGCGAAAGCGUGGGGAGCAAACAGG
rnacentral:rRNA from 1 species